rnacentral:rRNA from 1 species
GAUGAACGCUGGCGGCGUGCCUAAUACAUGCAAGUCGAGCGAACAGAUGAGGAGCUUGCUCCUCUGACGUUAGCGGCGGACGGGUGAGUAACACGUGGAUAACCUACCUAUAAGACUGGGAUAACUUCGGGAAACCGGAGCUAAUACCGGAUAAUAUAUUGAACCGCAUGGUUCAAUAGUGAAAGACGGUUUUGCUGUCACUUAUAGAUGGAUCCGCGCCGCAUUAGCUAGUUGGUAAGGUAACGGCUUACCAAGGCAACGAUGCGUAGCCGACCUGAGAGGGUGAACGGCCACACUGGAACUGAGACACGGUCCAGACUCCUACGGGAGGCAGCAGUAGGGAAUCUUCCGCAAUGGGCGAAAGCCUGACGGAGCAACGCCGCGUGAGUGAUGAAGGUCUUCGGAUCGUAAAACUCUGUUAUUAGGGAAGAACAAAUGUGUAAGUAACUAUGCACGUCUUGACGGUACCUAAUCAGAAAGCCACGGCUAACUACGUG